GACGAACGCUGGCGGCGUGCCUAAUACAUGCAAGUAGAACGCUGAAGGAGGAGCUUGCUCUUCUGGAUGAGUUGCGAACGGGUGAGUAACGCGUAGGUAACCUGCCUGGUAGCGGGGGAUAACUAUUGGAAACGAUAGCUAAUACCGCAUAAGAGUAGAUGUUGCAUGACAUUUACUUAAAAGGUGCAAUUGCCUCACUACCAGAUGGACCUGCGUUGUAUUAGCUAGUUGGUGGAGUAACGGCUUACCAAGGCGACGAUACAUAGCCGACCUGAGAGGGGGAUCGGCCACACUGGGACUGAGACACGGCCCAGACUCCUACGGGAGGCAGCAGUAGGGAAUCUUCGGCAAAGGACGGAAGUCUGACCGAGCAACGCCGCGUGAGUGAAGAAGGUUUUCGGAUCGUAAAGCUCUGUUGUAAGAGAAGAACGAGUGUGAGAGUGGAAAGUUCACACUGUGACGGUAUCUUACCAGAAAGGGACGGCUAACUACGUG
rnacentral:rRNA from 1 species